rnacentral:rRNA from 1 species
UGGGGAAUAUUGCACAAUGGGCGGAAGCCUGAUGCAGCAACGCCGCGUGCGGGAUGACGGCCUUCGGGUUGUAAACCGCUUUCGCCUGUGACGAAGCGUGAGUGACGGUAAUGGGUAAAGAAGCACCGGCUAACUACGUGCCAGCAGCCGCGGUGAUACGUAGGGUGCGAGCGUUGUCCGGAUUUAUUGGGCGUAAAGGGCUCGUAGGUGGUUGAUCGCGUCGGAAGUGUAAUCUUGGGGCUUAACCCUGAGCGUGCUUUCGAUACGGGUUGACUUGAGGAAGGUAGGGGAGAAUGGAAUUCCUGGUGGAGCGGUGGAAUGCGCAGAUAUCAGGAGGAACACCAGUGGCGAAGGCGGUUCUCUGGGCCUUUCCUGACGCUGAGGAGCGAAAGCGUGGGGAGCGAACAGGCUUAGAUACCCUGGUAGUCCACGCUGUAAACGGUGGGUACUAGGUGUGGGGUCCAUUCCACGGGUUCCGUGCCGUAGCUAACGCUAGAAUACCCCGCCUGGGANUACGCCGCAGCA